rnacentral:rRNA from 1 species
CCUACGGGUGGCAGCAGUGGGGAAUAUUGCACAAUGGGGGAAACCCUGAUGCAGCGACGCCGCGUGAGUGAAGAAGUCAUUCGUUAUGUAAAGCUCUAUCAGCAGGGAAGAAAAUGACGGUACCUGAGUAGGAAGCCCCGGCUAACUACGUGCCAGCAGCCGCGGUAUUACGUAGGGGGCAAGCGUUAUCCGGAUUUACUGGGUGUAAAGGGAGCGUAGACGGCGGUGCAAGUCUGGAGUGAAAGGCGGGGGCUCAACCCCCGGACUGCACUUGAAACUGUACGGCUUGAGUGCAGGAGAGGUAAGUGGAAUUCCUAGUGUAGCGGUGAAAUGCGUAGAUAUUAGGAGGAACACCAGUGGCGAAGGCGGCUUACUGGACUGUAACUGACGUUGAGGCUCGAAAGCGUGGGGAGCAAACAGGAUUAGAUACCCGAGUAGUC